rnacentral:rRNA from 1 species
GACGAACGCUGGCGGCGUGCUUAACACAUGCCAGUCGAACGGAAAGGCCCUGCUUUUGUGGGGUGCUCGAGUGGCGAACGGGUGAGUAACACGUGAGUAACCUGACCUUGACUUUGGGAUAACUUCAGGAAACUGGGGCUAAUACCGGAUAGGAGCUCCUGCUGCAUGGUGGGGGUUGGAAAGUUUCGGCGGUUGGGGAUGGACUCGCGGCUUAUCAGCUUGUUGGUGGGGUAGUGGCUUACCAAGGCUUUGACGGGUAGCCGGCCUGAGAGGGUGACCGGCCACAUUGGGACUGAGAUACGGCCCAGACUCCUACGGGAGGCAGCAGUGGGGAAUAUUGCACAAUGGGCGGAAGCCUGAUGCAGCAACGCCGCGUGCGGGAUGACGGCCUUCGGGUUGUAAACCGCUUUCGCCUGUGACGAAGCGUGAGUGACGGUAAUGGGUAAAGAAGCACCGGCUAACUACGUG